GAAAUGCGAUAAGUAGUGUGAAUUGCAGAAUUCAGUGAAUCAUCGAAUCUUUGAACGCACAUUGCGCCCUUUGGUAUUCCUUAGGGCAUGCCUGUUCGAGCGUCAUCUAAACCUUCAAGCCCUGCUUGGUGUUGGGUGCCUGUCCCGCCUCCGCGCGCGGACUCACCUCAAAUCCAUUGGCGGCACCCGCGUCGGCCACGAGCGCAGCAGAAACGCGAACUCGUGAGCCCGUCCGGGCGGCUCCCAGAAGCUACACCCACCCAGUUUGACCUCGGAUCAGGUAGGGAUACCCGCUGAACUUAAGC
rnacentral:misc_RNA from 1 species